AAGCACAUCCCACUGUCUUUUUUUCUGUUCUGGAGAGGAAAAAAGCAGUUUCUGUUGUGCUAGAUGAACUUGAAGGUAAAUUAGCGGCAUGUCUAAUGUAGCCAUUGGCGUCAGUCCCCUUCAUACAAUU